GGGAAUUUUUCACAAUGGGCGAAAGCCUGAUGGAGCAAUACCACGUGAACGAUGAAGGUCUUNCUGAUUGUAAAGUUCUUUUAUUUAGGAAAAAAAGCAGGAUAGGAAAUGAUUCUGUCGUGAUUGUACUAAUUGAAUAAGUGACAGCUAACUAUGUGCCAGCAGCUGCGGUAAAACAUAGGUCACGAGCAUUAUCCGGAUUUAUUGGGCGUAAAGGAAGCGUAGGUGGAGGAGUUGAUCCAUUGUCAAAAGCAUCUGCUUAACAGGUGUCCGCGAUGGAUAUCGCUUCUCUAGAAUUAGUUAGGGGGUACUGGNAAUUCAAUGUGUAGCGGUGGAAUGCGUAGAUAUAUUGAGGAACACCAGAGGCUAAGGCGAGUACCUGGGACAUAAUUGACACUGAGGCUUGAAAGCGUGGGGAGCAAAUGGGAUUAGAUACCCCAGUAGUCCACGCCGUAAACGAUGGGUAUUAGGUAUUUGGUUUAAAACUGAGUGCUGUAGCUAACGCGUUAAAUACCCCGCCUGGGUAGUAUAUAUGCAAAUAUGAAACUCAAAGAAAUUGACGGGGACCUGAACAAGUGGUGGAGCAUGUUGCUUAAUUCGAUAAUACACGCAAAACCUUACCAAGGCUUGUAAUCUACUGCGAAA
rnacentral:rRNA from 1 species